rnacentral:rRNA from 1 species
CCUACGGGGGACAGCAGUGAGGAAUAUUGGUCAAUGGGCGGAAGCCUGAACCAGCCAAGUCGCGUGAGGGAUUAAGGCCCUGCGGGUCGUAAACCUCUUUUGCCGGGGAGCAGUGGUCCGGACGCGUCCGGACCGGGAGAGUACCCGGAGAAAAAGCAUCGGCUAACUCCGUGCCAGCAGCCGCGGUAAUACGGAGGAUGCGAGCGUUAUCCGGAUUUAUUGGGUUUAAAGGGUGCGUAGGCGGGCUGUUAAGUCAGCGGUCAAAUGUCGGGGCUCAACCCCGGCCUGCCGUUGAAACUGGCGGCCUCGAGUGGGCGAGAAGUAUGCGGAAUGCGUGGUGUAGCGGUGAAAUGCAUAGAUAUCACGCAGAACUCCGAUUGCGAAGGCAGCAUACCGGCGCCCUACUGACGCUGAGGCACGAAAGCGUGGGUAUCGAACAGGAUUAGAUACCCCAGUAGUC